rnacentral:rRNA from 1 species
CAGUAGCCGCGGUAAUACGUAGGUGGCAAGCGUUGUCCGGAAUUAUUGGGCGUAAAGCGCGCGCAGGUGGUUUAAUAAGUCUGAUGUGAAAGCCCACGGCUCAACCGUGGAGGGUCAUUGGAAACUGUUAAACUUGAGUGCAGGAGAGAAAAGUGGAAUUCCUAGUGUAGCGGUGAAAUGCGUAGAGAUUAGGAGGAACACCAGUGGCGAAGGCGGCUUUUUGGCCUGUAACUGACACUGAGGCGCGAAAGCGUGGGGAGCAAACAGGAUUAGAUACCCCUGUAGUCCCUGUCUCUUAUAA